ACCGUUGCCGUGUCCUUCAGUGCCUCCGCACACCAACAAAUGCUAGAAAUGUCAAAAAGCAAAACACCAGUGAGACUUCAUAAUGUACAAAUGUCACCCAGUCUGAAAUCAAGCGGAAAAUUCGAUGUCAAAUAUAACCAUCGCUCAAAUAUGACCCCUGCAAGAAAUUUGGACUUCGAGUUCCAGUUGCCAGAGCAUUAGAAAUAUAGAACCAUAAAAGAAAUAGAGGAAAACCUCAAUGCUUUCCAGAAGACUUGUGUCAAAGUAAAGAUUUUUGAAAAAGCAGAAGCAGAUACCCAAGUCCUCAAUUCCGGAACAGAAUUGAACAAGUG